GAUGAAGAACGCAGCGAAAUGCGAUACUUGGUGUGAAUUGCAGAAUCCCGUGAACCAUCGAGUCUUUGAACGCAAGUUGCGCCCGAAGCCACUAGGCCGAGGGCACGCCUGCCUGGGCGUCACACGCCGUUGCCCCCCCAUCUACUCCUUCGGGAUUGCGGGGGGGCGGAUGAUGGCCUCCCGUGCGCCUAGCCGCGCGGUUGGCAUAAAUACCAAGUCCUCGGCGACGCACGCCACGACAAUCGGUGGUUGCGAAACCUCGGUUGCCCGUCGUGGGCGUUCGUCGCGCAUCGAGGGCUCGAAAAAAUGCUCGGCUCCGGCUGGGCUUUCAACGCGACCCCAGGUCAGGCGGGGUUACCCGCUGAAUUUAAGCAUAUCAAUAAGCGGAGGA
rnacentral:misc_RNA from 1 species